GACGUAGGGCGCGAGCGUUUGUCCGGAUUUAUUGGGCGUAAAGAGCUCGUAGGCGGUCUGUCGCGUCGGCUGUGAAAUCCCGAGGCUCAACCUCGGGUCUGCAGUCGAUACGGGCAAACUAGAGUAUUGCAGGGGAGACUGGAAUUCCUGGUGUAGCGGUGAAAUGCGCAGAUAUCAGGAAGAACACCAAUGGCGAAAGCAGCUUUCUGGGACGGUACUGACGCUGAGACGCGAAAGCGUGGGGAGCGAACAGG
rnacentral:rRNA from 1 species